GACGAACGCUGGCGGCGUGCUUAACACAUGCAAGUCGAACGGUGAAGCGCCUUCCUUUUUGGUGGGUGUGGAUGAGUGGCGAACGGGUGAGUAACACGUGAGUAACCUGCCCCCUUCUUCUGGAUAACCGCAUGAAAGUGUGGCUAAUACGGGAUAUUCUGGGUCUGUCGCAUGAUGGGUCUGGGAAAGAUAUUGUUUCGGUGGGGGAUGGGCUCGCGGCCUAUCAGCUUGUUGGUGGGGUGAUGGCCUACCAAGGCGGUGUCGGGUAGCCGGCCUGAGAGGGUGGACGGUCACACGGGGACUGAGACACGGCCCAGACUCCUACGGGAGGCAGCAGGGGGGAAUAUUGCACAAUGGGCGCAAGCCUGAUGCAGCGACGCCGCGUGAGGGAUGGAGGCCUGCGGGUUGUGAACCUCUUUCGCCAGUGAAGCAGGCCUGCCUCGUUUGUGGGUGGGUUGACGGUAGCUGGAGAAGAAGCGCCGGCUAACUACGUG
rnacentral:rRNA from 1 species